rnacentral:rRNA from 1 species
ACCUACAAGAGGCAGCAGUGGGGAAUAUUGCACAAUGGGCGCAAGCCUGAUGCAGCGACGCCGCGUGAGGGAUGACGGCCUUCGGGUUGUAAACCUCUUUCAGCAGGGGAGAAGCGAAAGUGACGGUACCUGCAGAAGAAGCGCCGGCUAACUACGUGCCAGCAGCCGCGGUAAUACGUAGGGCGCGAGCGUUGUCCGGAAUUAUUGGGCGUAAAGAGCUUGUAGGCGGUUUGUCGCGUCUGCUGUGAAAGCCCGGGGCUUAACUCCGGGUUUGCAGUGGGUACGGGCUAACUAGAGUGCAGUAGGGGAGACUGGAAUUCCUGGUGUACCGGGGGAAUGCGCACAUAUCAGGAGGAACACCCAUGGCGAAGGCAGGUCUCUGGGCUGUAACUGACGCUGAGAAGCCAAAGCAUGGGGAGCGAACAGGAUUAGAUACCCCGGUAGCCCAUGCCGCAAACCUUGGGCACUAGGUGCGGGGGAAAUUCCACGUUUCC